rnacentral:tRNA from 1 species
GGUGCCAUAGCUCAGUUGGUAGAGCAAAGCACUGAAAAUCCUUGUGUCCCCGGUUCGAUUCCUGGUGGCACCA